rnacentral:rRNA from 1 species
CGGACGGGUGAGUAAUGUCUGGGAAACUGCCUGAUGGAGGGGGGUAACUACUGGAAACGGUAGCUAAUACCGCAUAACGUCGCAAGACCAAAGAGGGGGACCUUCGGGCCUCUUGCCAUCGGAUGUGCCAGAUGGGAUUAGCUAGUAGGUGGGGUAACGGCUCACCUAGGCGACGAUCCCUAGCUGGUCUGAGAGGAUGACCAGCCACACUGGAACUGAGACACGGUCCAG